rnacentral:rRNA from 1 species
GAUGAACGCUGGCGGCGUGCCUAACACAUGCAAGUCGAACGGCACCCCCCUCCGGGGGGAAGCGAGUGGCGAACGGCUGAGUAACACGUGGAGAACCUGCCCCCUCCUCGGGAAUAGCCGCGGGAAACCGCGGGUAAUGCCCGACGACCCGGGGACCGCGCAUGCGGCCCCCGGCAAAGCCCAGGCGGGAGGGGAUGGCUCCGCGGCCCAUCAGGUAGACGGCGGGGUGACGGCCCACCGUGCCGACAACGGGUAGCCGGGUUGAGAGACCGACCGGCCAGAUUGGGACUGAGACACGGCCCAGACUCCUACGGGAGGCAGCAGUGGGGAAUCUUGCGCAAUGGGGGCAACCCUGACGCAGCGACGCCGCGUGCGGGACGGAGGCCUUCGGGUCGUAAACCGCUUUCAGCAGGGAAGAGACAAGACUGUACCUGCAGAAGAAGCCCCGGCUAACUACGUGCCAGCAGCCGCGGUAAUACGUAGGGGGCGAGCGUUAUCCGGAUUCAUUGGGCGUAAAGCGCGCGUAGGCGGCCUGGCAGGCCGGGGGUCAAAUGCGGGGGCUCAACCCCCGCCCGCCCCCGGAACCUCUAGGCUUGGGUCCGGUAGGGGAGGGUGGAACACCUGGUGUAGCGGUGGAAUGCGCAGAUAUCGGGUGGAACACCGGUGGCGAAGGCGGCCCUCUGGGCCGUGACCGACGCUGAGGCGCGAAAGCUGGGGGAGCGAACAGGAUUAGAUACCCUGGUAGUCCCAGCCGUAAACG